rnacentral:rRNA from 1 species
AAAACAUGGCUCCCUGUAAGCAACAAAUAAGGAGUCGGACCUGCCCAGUGAAUAUAUUUUUUAACGGCCGCGGUACUCUGACCGUGCAAAGGUAGCAUAAUCAUUUGCCUUAUAAUUGAGGGCUAGUAUGAAUGGUUUGACAAGAAUGAAGCUGUCUCUUUAUAAUUAAAUAGAAUUUUAUUUUUAGGUGAAGAAGCCUGAAUUAAAUUAAAAGACAAGAAGACCCUAUCGAGCUUGAAAGAAAUUAAUAGAAAGAAAAUUAAUAGGACUAUAAAAUUAACUAUUAAAGAUUUUAGUUGGGGCGACUAAGGAACAAAAAAAGCUUCCUUUAUUAUUGUUGAGCUUAAACACACAAGUAUUGAUCCAGAAUAAUCUGAUUGAUGAAAUUAGUUACCGUAGGGAUAACAGCAUUAUCUUUUUUAAGAGUUCUUAUCGAAAAAAAGGUUUGUGACCUCGAUGUUGGACCAGAAUGUCCUAAAGAUGCAGCAGUCUUUAAGGGUUGGUCUGUUCGACCAUUAAAAUUCUACGUGA